UACGUAGGAGGCGAGCGUUGUCCGGAUUUACUGGGCGUAAAGCGCGCGCAGGCGGCAUGGCAAGUAAGGUGUGAAAUCUCCCUGCCUAACGGGGAGGGUGCACUUUAGACUGCCAAGCUAGAGGACGGUAGAGGGGGGUAGAAUUGCUGGUGUAGCGGUGAAAUGCGUAGAGAUCAGCAGGAAUACCUGUGGCGAAGGCGACACGCUGGGCCGUACCUGACGCUAAAGCGCGACAGCAUGGGGAGCAAACGGG
rnacentral:rRNA from 1 species